rnacentral:lncRNA from 1 species
AGCACAACAUUUCAUCUCUUUGAUUCUAGACACUAUCCUCAGAAAUUAGAUUUGAAAAAUGAGCUUCAUUUUCGAAGAACAUAUUAGUGAGGAGACAUUUGGAAUAAAUAUGGCUUCUGGGGGCCCAUUCCUAUGGAUCAGCAGCUGGCUUCUGGAGGCCCAUUCCUGUGAAUCGUCGAUCUCAUAGAAGAUAAUAUUGUUAGAAGGCUUACCUCAUUGAUGCUGAACAUCCUAAAAAGCUUCUGCUGCUUUGAGUCACUGAAAAAGACCAAGAAACAUGAAUUUAAAAAAAAAUUUCAAAUGUUAUAAAAUAAAUAAUAUGAACUCAUUAUACCUACAAUGAAUAA